rnacentral:rRNA from 1 species
GAGCGGCAGCGCGGGGGCAACCCUGGCGGCGAGCGGCGAACGGGUGAGUAAUACAUCGGAACGUGCCCAGUAGCGGGGGAUAACCAGUCGAAAGAUUGGCUAAUACCGCAUACGAUCUACGGAUGAAAGCGGGGGACCGCAAGGCCUCGCACUAUUGGAGCGGCCGAUGUCGGAUUAGCUAGUUGGCGGGGUAAGAGCCCACCAAGGCGACGAUCCGUAGCUGGUCUGAGAGGAUGAUCAGCCACACUGGAACUGAGACACGGUCCAGACUCCUACGGGAGGCAGCAGUGGGGAAUUUUGGACAAUGGGCGCAAGCCUGAUCCAGCCAUGCCGCGUAAGUGAAGAAGGCCUUCGGGUUGUAAAGCUCUUUCGGCGGGGACGAAACGGUCCGGGCUAACACCACGGACUAAUGACGGUACUCGCAGAAGAAGCACCGGCUAACUACGUGCCAGCAGCCGCGGUAAUACGUAGGGUGCAGGCGUUAAUCGGAAUUACUGGGCGUAAAGCGUGCGCAGGCGGCUCCUUAAGUCAGAUGUGAAAGCCCCGGGCUUAACCUGGGAACUGCGUUUGAAACUGGGGAGCUAGAGUGU